rnacentral:rRNA from 1 species
AUGAGGCGCCGUGCCCACGCGCUCCACCGCGACCUGCUGCGUGAGGCGUGCUACCUGGCGGCUUGCCGCGGCCACCCCUCCGUCGUCGGCUUGCACGGGACCCCCGCACCGGGCAGUGCAGCCUCGUCCUGGAGCACGGGCGGCGCCGGGAGAAUGCACGAGAGCGGCAUCGUCCACAGGGACAUCAAGCCCGGGAACAUCCUCGUCGGCGGCGAGGGCGUGGUGAAGAUAUGUGAACUCGGUCUGGCCAUUUCCAUGGCGAGCGCGACGCCGCCGCGCCGUCAGGCCGGCACGCUCUGGUACAUGGCUCCCGAGAUGCUCCUGGGGAAGCCGGACUACGACGAGCUCGUGGACGCCUGGUCGCUCGGCUGCGUCAUGGCGGAGCUGUUCGCCGGCGAGCCAUUGUUCCCUGGCCACAGCGCGACCGACCAGCUCCUGAGAAUCUACCGCGUGCUCGGUGUUAGCCAUAAGCCAUGUGGUACUGUGAGUUCAAAGAGAAAGGAGUCGGGCGUUCGAGCGCCCGCGGCGGCGCUCCGUGCGCCGGCCGGCAAAACUUCCCGUGUCUCUACUCCAGUGGUCGUCUCCCACCUUCUGUUCUUGUUCGUGCGAGGGCAGAGGUCCAAGAGAGAGAGGGUGCAGCCUGAGGCUGCAACAACACUCGGCACGUGUAUGGCAUCCACGCCGCUCGCCCCCACGGGGCAGAAGCUGCUGGCCCACCGAGGCGGCAGCCGGCUUCGUGAGUUGUUCCCCGAGGAGAGCCCGUCGCGCGACGGCUUCGAGGUAUUAGAGGGGCUCCUCACGUGCAACCCCGGUGAGCGUCUGUCAGCGGGCCAUGGUUUGCUAGCACCGCCGACGUCCCAGCUUCAGCCGCGUAGGAUGCGUGCUCGACCACCAUUCUAUCUCAUCACUUGGGAAUGCAUUUCCAUUCCUCCAAUGUACAAAGAUGAUUUCUUUUGGGACUGUGUGUUCUUCUGGUGCCUGAAAAUAGAACUUGCAUCAGUCACUUCCAUCCAGACGGCCGCCGACCUCCGCCCCCGCAGCCAGCGGCUAGCGCCGCCCCGCCCUCCCCUCUACCUUCCCCACCGCCGUGCUGGCCGCCACUCCGACCAUCGUUCUAAACCGCCCCGACGAACAAUUCCGGCGACCCCCGCACCCCCUAGUUAA